AUGCAUCAUGUUCCUUAUGCUUCAGCGGUUGGGAGUUUGAUGUAUGCUAUGGUGUGUACAAGGUCUGACAUUGCUCAUGCGGUUAGUACUGUGAGCAGAUUUAUGUUCAAUCCAGGAAGACCUCAUUGGGAAGCCGUGAAGUGGAUUUUGAGAUAUCUUCGGGGCAGCACAAAUCUGAAACUUUGCUUCGGUAACGGUCAGGCAAAGCUGAUUGCUUUUUCAGAUUCUGACAUGGCUGGAGAUGUUGACAGAAGGAAGUCUACUUCAGGUUACUUGAUUACCUAUGCAGGGGGAGCGGUGUCAUGGCAAAGCAGGCUGCAGAAGUGUGUGGCAUUGAAUACAACUGAAGCUGAAUUCAUUGCUGUAACAGAGGCGAGCAAAGAGCUAUUGUGGCUGAAACGGUUGGCUUGUGAGCUUGGUUUUAAGCAAGACAAGUAUGUGUUGUUUUGUGACAACCAAAGUGCUAUCCACUUGAGUAAGAAUGCAAGUUUUCAUUCAAGGUCUAAGUAUAUAGAAGUCUGUUAUCAUUGGAUUCGAGAUGUGUUGUAUUCUAAGAAAAUGCAACUUGAGAAGGUUCACACCGAUGACAAUGGGGCUGAUAUGUUGACUAAAGUGGUGACAAGGAAGAAGCUCGAAGUAUGUCGCCGGCUCGCUGGCAUGGCUGCCGGAAGGCAGUGA
rnacentral:rRNA from 1 species